CGAGUGGCGUCCAAAAUUUUCAACCAGCGGCCAGCAGCGCCAAAUUUUCAUCCCCAAAUUAAUAUCUCACCGCACUCUCUCAAAUCCGCCUCCACCUCUUUCAAACCAAAAAAAAAAACGCCCCCCUCUCCCAAAAUCUAGGGUUUCUCUCGCUCUCUUGAGCCCCCUUUUUCUGGCUGCUCUCGCUCUUCUACUUCCUCAAUCCCCUCAAUUUCUCAAGCGGACUCUGAUUCUUCUCUCGUCGACGGUGACCAGAUCCCUGAUUCGUCACCCUAGUUCGGUUUAAUUCGCUCUGCAAAUUAUUGUCAUUUGAAGAUGUUUUGGAGAAUCCCCAACUUCUCUGCUUCGUCUCCGAUUGAGUCCAUAUUGGACAAGGAAAACUUCACGCAGGAAGAACUUCUGGAUGAAGAAGAUAUGAUUCAACCUUAGAGACAGAGAGCUCAAGUAGAACAAUUGGUGCAAUAUAUUGCGGAAGAUGCUCCUGCAGAUGCUGAAAGCAAGCGAGCCUUCAAGUUCCCUUUCAUUGCUUGUGAAAUUUUCACUUGUGAGAUUGAUGUUAUUUUGAAGACAUUAGUAGAGGACGAAGAGGUAGCUGAUUGACAAAGUUCUGGAUCAGCAGACACAUCAUCAUCAGGAACAGAGAAUACUGCAGUCAUCGCCGCUGGUUUAGCUCUAAUAUCAGUUGCUGCAGUAUUGGCAAUUCUUCUACAAGUUGACAAAAAAACACCUCAAGUUCAGAGUACAGAGUACUCUGGACCUCCACUCAGUUACUAUAUCGGCGAGUUCAAGCCUACAAGUAUUGUAGAGGCUGCAGUUAUUUCUAAGCCUCAGAGCUCUCCAACUGUAGAGGCUUCUGCUCCUUCUGAACCCGAGAUUGCGUCGAAUGUGCAGUCUGAAGCUGAUGCAAGUGCAGCUCCUGAGGUCCAAGUUGAAUUGAAGGUGAAGGGUGAAAGUUCAAGUGUUGAAAAUGUUUCUUGAUUGGAUGGAUCAAGCCACUCCUAUAUUAUAUUUUGGAUGUAUGAGUCAUUUUGGAUAUUAGAAAAAUAUAUAUAAUAUUGGAUGUUUUU